ensembl:misc_RNA 7SK 7SK RNA
GGAUGUGAGGGCAACUGACUGCGACAUCUGUCACCCUAUUGAUCGCCAGGGUUGAUUCGGCUGAUCUGGCUGGCUAGGCGGGUGUCCCCUUCCUCCCUCAACGAUCCAUGUGCGUCCCUCCCAAAGCUGCGUCCUCAGUCAAAGAGGACUAUCACCUCAGAUAGAGAAGGACCAUUCCUUGGUCAAGGGUAUACAAGUAGCUGCACUCCCCUGCUAGAACCUCCAAACAAGCUCUCAAGAAAUCAACUGAUAAAAAAUGUUGGUGAGCCUGUGUAGAAAAAGGAACACUGCUCCAUUGUUAGUGGGAGUGUAGACUGU